rnacentral:misc_RNA from 1 species
GUUUUAUGUUACUGUGUUUUCUCAGCAAAUUCAUCUGCUCUCAAUGGAAUGUGAUUUCUCUCAUAAAAUGUUGUAGUUUUGAAUGUUCUGAUUGAUACAGAGACCACCAACUUCAGGUGGACCACAUAUAUGCAUGUGCAUAUAAGACUAAUGAUGAAUUGAUGUUAUUUUUACCACUUUUGGUUUCAGUUUUAUAGCAGCAGAUUGUCUCGUGCAGAGUACCUUGAAUGAUUUGUACCUACUUCCUGCACUUCCCCAGGAUAGAUGGAUGAAUGGAUCUGUAAAAGG